AGAACGUCGUGAGACAGUUCGGUCCCUAUCCGGCGUGGGCGUAGGAUAUUUGAGAGGAGCUGACCUUAGUACGAGAGGACCGGGUUGGACUGACCACUGGUGUACCGGUUGUUCCGCCAGGAGCACGGCCGGGUAGCCAAGUCGGGAAGGGAUAAACGCUGAAGGCAUCUAAGCGUGAAGCCCCCCUCAAGAUGAGAUAUCCCAUUCUUUAGAAGAAGUAAGACCCCUUGAAGACGACGAGGUAGAUAGGGCAGAGGUGGAAGUGCAGCAAUGCAUGGAGCUGACUGUUACUAAUCGGUCGAGGGCUUGACCUG
rfam:Lactonifactor longoviformis DSM 17459 genome assembly, contig: EJ64DRAFT_scaffold00051.51